AGUCUGGUGCCAGCAGCCGCGGUAAUUCCAGCUCCAAUAGCGUAUAUUAAAGUUGUUGCAGUUAAAAAGCUCGUAGUUGAACCUUGGGUCUUGUUAGCGGGUGCCUCCCAACGGGGGUUACCAUCGACAGGCAGGGCCUUUCUCCUUGAGUAGUCCGGCGUGCCCUUCGCUGGGUGUGCCGGGCAAUCGGGACUUUUACUUUGAAAAAAUUAGAGUGUUCAAAGCAGGCAUAUGCUCGGAUACAUAGCAUGGAAUAAUAGAAUAGGACGUUUCGGCUUAUUUUGUUGGUAUUGACGGCCGGCCGUAAUGAUUAAUAGGGAUAGUCGGGGGCAUCAGUAUUCAAUUGUCAGAGGUGAAAUUCUUGGAUUUAUUGAAGACUAACUACUGCGAAAGCAUUUGCCAAGGAUGUUUUCAUUAAUCAGUGAACGAAAGUUAGGGGAUCGAAGACGAUCAGAUACCGUCGUAGUCUUAACCAUAAACUAUGCCGACUAGGGAUCGGGCGAUGUUGUUAUACUGACUCGCUCGGCACCUUACGAGAAAUCAAAGUCUUUGGGUUCUGGGGGGAGUAUGGUCGCAAGGCUGAAACUUAAAGGAAUUGACGGAAGGGCACCACCAGGAGUGGAGCCUGCGGCUUAAUUUGACCCAACACGGGGAAACUCACCAGGUCCAGACACAUUAAGGAUUGACAGAUUGAGAGCUCUUUCUUGAUCAUGUGGGUGGUGGUGCAUGGCCGUUCUUAGUUGGUGGAGUGAUUUGUCUGCUUAAUUGCGAUAACGAACGAGACCUUAACCUGCUAAAUAGCCAGGCCCGCAUCAGGCGGGUCGCCUGGCUUCUUAGAGGGACUAUCGGCUCAAGCCGAUGGAAGUUUGAGGCAAUAACAGGUCUGUGAUGCCCUUAGGUGUUCUGGGCCGCACGCGCGCUACACUGACAGAGCCAACGAGUACAUCACCUUGGCCGGAAGGCUUGGGUAAUCUUGUUAAACUCUGUCGUGCUGGGGAUAGAGCAUUGUAAUUAUUGCUCUUCAACGAGGAAUUCCUAGUAAGCGCAAGUCAUCAGCUUGCGUUGAUUACGUCCCUGCCCUUUGUACACACCGCCCGUCGCUACUACCGAUUGAAUGGCUCAGUGAGGCCUUCGGAGCGCCCGAUAGAGGUCGGCGACGAUCACCUUCAGGGGCAAAGUUGGUCAAACUUGGUCAUUUAGAGGAAGUAAAAGUCGUAACAAGGUU
rnacentral:rRNA from 1 species